GGAUUUUUCCUUUUGGGAGCCCCUCUCUCUCACACAGGGAGAGAGCUGUUCUCCUUUCUCUUUCUUCUUCCUAUUAAACCUCCACGCCUAAACUCAGUCCUCUUGGGUGUCUAUGUCCUUAAUUUUCUUAGCGAGAGACUACAAACCCGGGGUAUUUACCCCAGACAACUACCCCGCUUCAUAUUGGGAAUCUCAGCCAGGAUCCCAAGGUACAUUCAUCGGAACGGCUACCACCCGAGGGGACACCAGCUCUGGGACUCAAAAAAUGGUAAAGAGACCUCCAGAAUCAAUGAAUCACUUUCAGAGAAAAGAAAAGAAAAACUUUAAAAACACAAAGAAAAAAAAUACCACAUUUUCCCCAAAUUUCACGUCAUAACCAACUAGAAGUGCAAACGUAAGUGAUGCUGGAAACAAGACUCUGGCAAGAAGGGCCUUCUGAGCAAGGUCAGCAUCUCCUCCCAACAGCUCUUUCUCCCAACAAUGCCAGGGGAUCUUUCAAAAUUGCCACUGCUGCUGCUAAGCUCCAGAAGAGAGGUUUCUGAACUUCAAUGUCUUUAUCAUAGCUCACUCUCUGGGUUCUCAGAUAGAUAUAUAUAUAUCAGGGUUGUCUUCAUCUGAAUGAAGCUGGAAACUCUGCCUGACAGCAUGCUUAUAAUGCUCCUGGAUGCCCUUGGUCGGCAGCUGCAGCGGCAAAUGUCUGUAGAGCUGUAGCAGCCUCCAGACCAGCUCUGUCCCUGGUGGUAGCAGGAUCAUCUGCAAGAUCGUCUGCGCCUGCUUCGUGAAACCACCUGCUAUGUCUAUAUUUGAGUCAUCCAUAAAAAUGCUUAAUCAGAUUAGAGCUAAGUACCCCACAGGGCAUGGGCAGGAACAAGUUCAAACAUCUAUAAAAAGCACUUGAUUGUACUGUUAUCCAGUACUUCUCAAUCUUCUCUACAAAACCUUGCUCUGUGCUUUUCUGAAACACAAGAACAUCAUAUGCAGCUUCCCCCUGCCUCCACGGGGGACAUCAGCCCUGGACACUGCCACACCAAUUAGUGUAUUUAAAUUUUUAACUCAUUUGGGUAAAUAGUAAUAAGCAUGAUUUCGGAAUUACAUAUACGAGUAUGUUUAGUUUGUGACAAACUGCCAAACUGUUUUCCAAAGUAGCUGUACCAUUUUGCAUUCCCAGCAGCAACGAAUAAGAACUCCUGUUGCCCUACAUCCUUGCGAGCAUUCCAUGUUGUCACGGUUCUGGGUUUUUGGCCAUUCUAAUAGGCACGUAGUGAUAUUUCAUUGUUUGUUUUAAUUUGGAUUUCUCUGAUGAUAUAUGGUGUAGAGCAAUUUUUCCUAUGCUUAUUUUACAUCUCUCUAUCUUUUUUGGUGAAGUGUCUGUUAAGGUGUUUGGCCCGUAUUUUAAUAGGGAUGUUUUCGUAUUGUUGAGAUUUAGGUGAUCUUUGUAUAUUUUGGGUAAUUGUCCUUUACCAGGUAUAUCUUCUGUAAAUAUUUUCUUCCCGUCUAUGCCUUAUCUUUUCAUUCUCUUGACAGUUUCUUUUACAGAGCAUAAUUUUUUAAUUUUAACGAAGUCUAAUUCAUCAUGGAUCUUGCCUUUGGUGUUAUUUCUAAAACUUCAUCACAAUACCAAAAAUUUUCUCUGCUUAUCAUCUAGGAAUUUUAUUUUGCAUUUUAUAUUUAGGUCUGUUAUUAAUUUUGACUUACUAUUUUUGAAGGGUGUAAAUGUCUUGUGUGCUGCCAUCUAUUAUCUCAUACAUUCUGAUCUGUUUUACAUUAAAUCUUCUGUAUCUCUCUUUCUGAAAUUUGAGUCAAAGUUCCAGGAGGUGUUAUAUUUAUCUUUAAUUCCUUCUUCACCAUCAGACCCCUGCUUCCACCCUUGCCCAACCCCCACAUCGUCUAAUAUUAUUUUUCAUAACUGAACUGUAUUUUGGGUACAGGCUCUGACAAGUGCUUACUUAUGCUACAUUAUUUAAUUAUAACAAGAAUUCUAUUUUUUUUAGAUAUUAUUAUCCCUGGGGCAAAUAGAGUCCUAAAGUGGCCCCAAUGAUCCUCUCUCCCUAGUACUAUUAUCCUGAAUAAUUCAUUUUCCUUUAAUGUGGGUGGAAACUAUGGCUUGCUUCUACGGAUAGAAUAUGGCAAAAGUGAAAGGAUUUUGCAGAUGUAAUUAAGGUCUCAGAUCAAUCAAAUAGAAGAUUAUCCUGAGAAGACCUGACCUAAGUGAAAUCUCUUAAAAAAAAAAAAAAAAAAAAAAGGACGGGGCUCUCCCUGAAGUUAAAGACUCUGCUUUUACUCUUUAUGAAUUCAAAAGGAAUGUCAGGAAGCCUUCAGGCAGCAGCCAGAAGAAAGCUGGGGCCCUUUUCCAUACAGCUGAAAGAUAAAGAAUCUGUUAGAUACCUGAAGAGCUUAGAAGUGAGUGGCUCUCCAGAUAAGAAUGCAGGCAAGCUAACAUUUUUUACAGCCUGUUACACUCUGAGCAUAGACGAACCACCCAUGCCAUGCCUAGGCUCUUGACCCAUGGAAAUUGUUAGAUAAUAAAUAUAUGUUGAAGUUGUAAUAAUAUUGGUACAGUCAUUCUAAUUUAUUUGUGUGUGAAAAAUAUGUGUCUGUGUUAAAAUAUGUAAGUAAUGUCAUGGCUACAAUCCCAGCACUUCAGGAGGCCAAGGCGGGAAGAUGACUUGAGAUCAGGAGUUUGAGACCAACCUGGCCAACGUGGUAAAACGCUGUCUCUACUAAAAAUACAAAAAUUAGCUGGGCAUGGUGGUGGGCACCUGUAAUCCCAGCUAAUUGGGAGGCUGAGGCAGGAGAAUUUCUUGAACCUGGGAGGCAGAGGUUGCUGUGAGCUGAGAUUGCCCCACUGCACUCCAGCCUAAGUGACAGAGGGAGGCUUUGUCUCAAAAUAAAUAAUAAAAUAUGUAAGUAAUAAUUUUAGAGUCAUUGGGAAAUAUUUCAACUCAAGAGAAAAAAUAUAAAUAUCAAAUCAAAAACAUAAUGAAAAAUUCCUAAAUGUGAAUUUAAUUAUUUUGUCUUAAAAUAACAAUAAUACCUAUUUCUUAGUUUUUUUCUGUUGAAAAAUCCUAAACACAAUGACCAACCUAGUAACAAUGAGCAUUGGUGUAAUAACACUGGCGUCUCAAUACCAUAUUCCAUUAAAAGUAACCAGAGUUCCUUGGAUAGAUGGUUGAUUCCAGGCAUGAAAUAUGUAAGGUAAGCCUGCUCAUUUUUUCAUAGCAGAAACCAAAGCAGCUUCCAAAAAUACUAGGAUUCAGUCAAAAAGACUCAGGAGCCAACUUGAAGAAAUCCCUUAUGACCAAAACAGAAAAAAAUUAAAUAUUCAUUGAAAGAAUCACUGCAGUGAGUUGAAACAUGUUAAAUAUAUUGCCAUUUUAAUGAUCAUAUAGACAAAACCAAACAAGAACCUACUAAUGGUCACAUUUCAGAGAUGUUUCAAACCCAGUGAAGUAUUCUGAAAACACAUCAAAGAGGAAAUAAUCAUUCUAUUAUUAUUUCCUAUACGAAUGUGUGUCAGAGUAACAACAUGAUUGAUGAAGUCAAGUUUCUCUCUACACACAUAGUCUAUCUUAAAAAUAAGAUAGUGUCACCAUUUCAUUAAUUUAUGAUGAAAAAUGGAAAAUUACAUUACGACAAGGAGAGGUAAUUAGAAAUUUUGGUACUCUUUAUUAACCAGCACCCAACUAUAUCCGAAGUACUGUUGUUUAAAAAAGAAAUCAAACCUGAAUCAGAUAGAGCUUCUAGAUCUAAAUACAAGAAAUACAAAUGGCCAAGUUGUUUUCAACAAAUACAUUGCAAGAGGACAGGAAAAACUGCAGGAACUAAUACAUUAAGAUAAUCUUUUAAGACAUGUUUAUUAAAUUGUAUGUUUGAACUUUGAGUACCAACUUGAAAUAAUCAAAUAUUUUUAAAAAGUUAAGCAAACAAAAAAUACUUAUGAGAGAACUGCGGACUAGAUACUUGAUGAUAUGAAGAAUUUAGUCAAGUUUUUGUAAGCUGUAAUUAUAUAAUGAUUGUUUCAAAAAAAAGUUCUUAUGUAGAGAUAAAUUCUGAAAUUUUUACAGCUGACAUUAAGUUAAGCCUGGCAUUUUCAAAGUAAUCCCACAGAGUAAGGAGGAGGGUAGAAUAUGAGGGUGCAUAGAUGAAACAUAAGUUGAUGUUAGAUAUACAUGGGCUUUCCCUUGCUUUUGACUUUCAUAUAUAUUUGAAAUUUAUCAUAAUCAAAUUGUAAACUAAAAUUUGCUUCAAAUUUUAAAAUAAUUGGAAGACAAGUCACAGAAACCAUAGACUGAGAUCAAAAUAUUUAUAAAAGUCAUACCCAGUGAAGGACUAUUAACCAAAAUAUACAAAGAACUCUUAAAGCUUAACAGUAAGAAAAGAAACAAUCCAACUUAAAAAUAGGUGAAAGAUCUAAACAGACACCUCAGCAAAGAUCUACAGAUGACAAGCUGUAAAAUGAUGCCUACCAUCAUAUAUUAUUAGGGACUUGCCAAUAAAAACAAUAAGAUACCAUUACAUACCAAUUAAAAUGGCCAAAACCCAGAGCACUCAAUACCAAAUGCUCAUUAAGAUGUA
rnacentral:lncRNA from 1 species